UACGAAGGGUGCUAGCGUUGUUCGGAAUUACUGGGCGUAAAGCGCGCGUAGGCGGUAAUACAAGUCAGAGGUGAAAUCCCAGGGCUCAACCCUGGAACUGCCUUUGAAACUGUAUUGCUGGAGUGUGUGAGGGGAUAGCGGAAUUCCUAAUGUAGAGGUGAAAUUCGUAGAUAUUCGCAAGAACACCAGUGGCGAAGGCGGCUCACUGGCCCGGUACUGACGCUGAGGUGCGAAAGCGUGGGGAGCAAACAGG
rnacentral:rRNA from 1 species